UACGAAGGGGACUAGCGUUGUUCGGAAUCACUGGGCGUAAAGCGCACGUAGGCGGAUGUGUCAGUCAGGGGUGAAAUCCCGGGGCUCAACCUCGGAACUGCCUUUGAUAUAGCACGUCUCGAGUCCGGAAGAGGUGGGUGGAAUUCCUAGUGUAGAGGUGAAAUUCGUAGAUAUUAGGAAGAACACCGGUGGCGAAGGCGGCCCACUGGUCCGGUACUGACGCUGAGGUGCGAAAGCGUGGGGAGCAAACAGG
rnacentral:rRNA from 1 species